GAUGAACGCUGGCGGCGUGCCUAAUACAUGCAAGUCGAGCGGUAAGGCCUCUUCGGAGGUACACGAGCGGCGGACGGCUGAGUAACACGUAGGAACAUACCCCAAAGUGAGGGAUAACUGCUCGAAAGAGUAGCUGAUACCGCAUGUGGUCUUCGGAUUAAAGCUUCGGCGCUUUGGGAAUGGCCUGCGUCUGAUUAGCUAGAUGGUGAGGUAAUGGCUCACCAUGGCGACGAUCAGUAGCUGGUCUGAGAGGAUGAUCAGCCAGACUGGGACUGAGACACGGCCCAGACUCCUACGGGAGGCAGCAGUAGGGAAUUUUCCACAAUGGGCGAAAGCCUGAUGGAGCAACGCCGCGUGCAGGAUGAAUGCCUUCGGGUUGUAAACUGCUUUUAUAUGUGACGAAUAUGACGGUAGCAUAUGAAUAAGGAUCGGCUAACUCCGUGCCAGCCGCCGCCGUAA
rnacentral:rRNA from 1 species